UGGGUCACAACCAGCGAGUCGCUAACUGCGUACCUGGUUGGAGGAUUUUCACCGGCAAGUGAUCCAUGCUGGUGGGGUUGCAAAUGUGAGCGAGGGAGCCAAACUUGGAGAGCAACAUCUUCCAGAGGAGCCGGGGGAAGGGGAAGGAAAGAGAUCCUACAGCGAAACGUAGAGAGUGUCCUCCGGGCUAAUUAUUCAAUUAACGAUCUGCUGGGAAGGAGCGGCGCGAUCUCCUUCCCGACCCGGGAGGGGAGCUGCGAAGCGGCUGCCUGGGCUCCUGCUCUGCUCUCCCCAGUCCACCAGCAGCAGUUGAUGUUGUAGCAGAGGGUGGCAGACGCCUCCAGAAAUAAACAGCCACAAAGAAUCCAAGCUGAAGCGGCGUGGAGCCCGUCGACAAAAAGCAAUCAAUAACGAGGGCGAUGCUCUGCUUCUCCCACCGCAGCUGAAACGCAACCCCAGAUGCCAGCAGGGCUGCAGAGAAAGUGGGUAAAAUCCGCCCCGGCGAGAAGGACGCUUGCUCGGGGCCGCUGGGUGACUGCGAAUUCAAUCCAGCGCCGCAGUGAAACCGUACCCCUGGUGCAGCAGCAGCGCAGCCUCCUCGGUGCCUGCUCACUUCUGAGCUCAAUUACAGCAGGAGCUGCCUCUUAACUCUCAAUGUUUUGGUGCGGGGAAGAGAGAUACAAAUAUCCCUCCGCGGGGGAGUGGGAAAACACCUCGUUGUGCCUUCCGGAGUUCUUCCCCUCCUCUAGAGCACAGCGCGCUGAGAUGUCUUCGUGCGGUCUCCGGCUCUGGCGGGGACUGCAGAGUCCCAGCCCACAGAGGGAGAACAACAGAGACAUGGAAGUGAGGAAAAAUGAAGAGGACAGGACAGAGAAGACCUGCAAAAUUGUUACAUGGUCUUAGGGACCUGGAUCUGCAGUGGUUACCAGGAACAGGAGGAGCUCAGGACCUUCACUGCUUUGGAACCAGCAACCAGGAGACUGCUGCUGUUGGUAAUCACUGGAACCAGGAACAAGGUAAAAGGAUGGAUUGACAGUUUUCAGUUCCCCAAGCAGUUUCCCACAACAGCUCUUCUGCGGAUGAGCCAGUAUGGCAAGUUUUGGCUCGCAGUUUCAGUGGUUUGCAAAUGAUUUCAUCUUGAAAAUAUGGGAGUUACUCAACAACUGGAGCCAGAUUAUGAUCUGAGUUAUUCUGGAUUUAUUCUUGUGCAUCUCCGUUGAUUCUACCAAAAUUAUUCCUAAUUGACAACAGUGUUAUUUCGAUCAGAAUCUGGUGCAGUUUCCUAUCCAGUAUGGAAACUGGUGAUAAAGAGAAGACAAUGCUAGCUGGAAAGGAAAAGUGCAUGCCUCUUUGGUGCAGCUAGAAGAAAUGAUUAAUUAUUCUACUUGUAAAGACACCUCAUGCUGCCUUUAUAGCCUUGGUUUGUAUCAAAGACCAUCCCUACUAAAUUACAGAAGACUAUAUAAAUGUAGAGCUCAUCUGUGCUGGAAAGGCUUGUAAAUACUUUUCUGCUUGGAUGCAAGCUCCACUAGUGCUAUUAAUGGUGGAAGUUGCAGCGUUAGUGUAACGCUGACAGCUGGCCGGAUUGAACCGGGGACCUCUGGAGCUUAGUGCAUAAGCCGCGACUGCAUGAGCUAAAAGCCAACUAGCUGUUAGCUAAGACUGUAGAGCAGACUGAUUUUAACUCUCUCUUUCUAAGUGAUCUCAGUGCCACUAGAUGGGACAGAACACCACACCCAGGAGGUGUGUGGGUUACAUUAGCAAGGUGCAAGAAAAUAACACCUUUUUAACCCCCCCCCCAAAACCCCUGUGCCCCAUCUAUGUUGGAGUUGCAUCCGCGCAGAAAAAUAUGUAGUGGAGAGAAGACUUCAGAGGCUUCUUACUACUGCCUAGUCAAGAACUACAAUUCACAAACAGUGUAAUUAGUUAUUUCAGGAGUGAAUCAGUAUCCCAUUAUGGUGUUGUGGCACUACUGAUCUAAAAUGAGUGGUCCUGAACACUUGUUAAACAGAUGUCUGUUUCUGAAAGCAUAGUGGGGCUAAUCCCAGUGUUUUAGCCAUAUUCCAGCUAAAAUAAGUAUAUUCUGUUUAAAUUUGUCCCGUAAUUUAAAUGAACAUUAUACUGCUUUUCUUAUCCUACAGUACGGUAUAAUGUUGUGCAAUGUUGAACUGCUUUUUUAUUCCAGAGAUGAGCAAAGUCAUUAAUAUAUGUGCUAUUAAAAUCUAAGAUACUGAGGCUGUAUUUCAGUAGCUUAAUUGUAUGAUAAAAACACUGAAAACUAUUGGAAAACCCUCAGAAUUAUUUUACGAUUCUAUGCGUGAGGGAUCUAAAGAGUGAAUGUUUUGUGGCUUGAUGGUGAAAACAAACAAGAGGCCAAGAUACUGAGGCUUUAUCUACACUAGGAAAUAGAGCUAUCAACUGCACCCAUACUGUCAAUUAUAUAAACUCUGGUGUAUAUCAAGCACAGGUGUCUUUACCACUGUGUCGUCUAACCCUGCAAAUAUCCUGUGAUGGUGCCCCCCAUAAGGCUUUAUGGAAAUAUGCUUAUGAAUAUAUAUGACAUAACUGGAAUACGUUCUAUGCUACAUAUGCCAUGUAAUAUAUUUAUGCAAAGGUUAUGAUCUACUGAAUCUAUUAAUCCUAUUUGUAUGCAUGUAUAAUUUUUGUAUUUGAAGUUAUGAAUAUUGGCCGUAUACUGGCUUGAUUUCUAAAUAACCUUAGUAGAGCAUUUGGUCGGUUCCUGGAAAAAGGAAUUCGCAAAGUUAAGUGCCCAAUCAAGAAGCGCUUAAGGAACAAUGUAUCUUGGAAUGCUCCAAUCCACAUAAGAAGUCUUCCUGGAGACAGUCAAGAUACCAUGUGGGCAACGGCUUCUGCCUGUAAAAACUGUGAGUCAUGCAUGGACAUGUGACUUGCCCAGGUGACUCCAGAACUCCAUCUUGGAGCUGUACUUUGCAUAGGAGAAAGGAGGGGAUCUCCACCCACAAAAGAAAGUCUAUUUAAGCCCAUGGGAGACCCCUCCAUUUUGUCUUCAGCUGGCCUAGGAGAUGGCCUUUCCACCCCCAAGGAUACCUGAAAGAAACUGGAACAAAAGACAAUAACUACAGGGGUUGUGAGUGAUUGCUGGACCUGGAUUAGAAGGAGAUUUGUCCAUAAAAGGAAACUUAUGGGAACUGGUGAGGUUUUGUCCAUAUUCAGUUUUAUUAGACGUAGACUUGGGGGGGUUAUUUUAUUUUGUUUGGUAAUUCACUUUGUUCUGUCUGCUACUACUUGGAACCACUUAAAUCCUACUUUCUGUAUUUAAUAAAAUCACUGUUUACUUAUUAAUU